UAUGGCCAUAUCACGUUGAAACAUCGGUUCCAGUAGGAUCACUGAAAUUAAGCAUCGUCAAGCCUGGUCAGUACCUCGAUGGGUGACCUCUUGGGAAUACCAGGUGCUGUAAG